rnacentral:rRNA from 1 species
AUUGAACGCUGGCGGCAGGCCUAAAACAUGCAAGUCGAGCGGAUGAAGGGAGCUUGCUCCUGGAUUCAGCGGCGGACGGGUGAGUAAUGCCUAGGAAUCUGCCUGGUAGUGGGGGAUAACGUCCGGAAACGGGCGCUAAUACCGCAUACGUCCUGAGGGAGAAAGGGGGGGAUCUUCGGACCUCACGCUAUCAGAUGAGCCUAGGUCGGAUUAGCUAGUUGGUGGGGUAAAGGCCUACCAAGGCGACGAUCCGUAACUGGUCUGAGAGGAUGAUCAGUCACACUGGAACUGAGACACGGUCCAGACUCCUACGGGAGGCAGCAGUGGGGAAUAUUGGACAAUGGGCGAAAGCCUGAUCCAGCCAUGCCGCGUGUGUGAAGAAGGUCUUCGGAUUGUAAAGCACUUUAAGUUGGGAGGAAGGGCAGUAAGUUAAUACCUUGCUGUUUUGACGUUACCAACAGAAUAAGCACCGGCUAACUUCGUG